rnacentral:rRNA from 1 species
UACGUAGGGGGCGAGCGUUGUCCGGAUUUAUUGGGCGUAAAGAGCGUGUAGGCGGCCAGGUAGGUCCGUUGUGAAAACUCGAGGCUCAACCUCGAGACGUCGGCGGAAACCCUCUGGCUAGAGUCCGGAAGAGGAGAGUGGAAUUCCUGGUGUAGCGGUGAAAUGCGCAGAUAUCAGGAAGAACACCCGUGGCGAAGGCGACUACCUGGCCUGUUCUUGACGCUGAGGCGCGAAAGCUAGGGGAGCAAACGGG